GUUUAUUUAGUUUAAGUAAAACAUUACAUUUUCAUUGUAAAAUUGAAUAAAAUUUAGUAAAUA
rnacentral:tRNA from 1 species